UUUUUGAUUAAUAAUUUAAAGUCUAAUCUGCCCACUGAUAAUAUAUUAAAGGGCUGCAGUAUUUUGACUGUACAAAGGUAGCAUAAUCAAUAGUCUCUUAAUUGGUGACUUGUAUGAAGGAUUUAAUGAGAUAUAUACUGUCUCUUUUUAAUUUGUAAAAUUUAAUUUUUUAGUUAAAAAGCUAAAAUAUAUUUAAAAGACGAGAAGACCCUAUAGAGUUUAAUAUUUAAUUAAAUUAGAAUUAUUUAUAAAAUUUAAAGUUUUAAUUUAUAAUAAAUAUUUUGUUGGGGUGAUAAAAAAAUUAAAAGAACUUUUUUUAUAGAUUUACAUUAAUAAGUGAAUAAAUGAUCCGUAAUUUACGAUUAAAAGAAAAAAUUACCUUAGGGAUAACAGCGUAAUUUUUUUUUUUAGUUCAAAUAAGAAAAAAAGUUUGCGACCUCGAUGUUGGAUUAAGAUAAAAUUUAAAUGCAAAAGUUUAAAAUUUUUGAUCUGUUCGAUCAUUAAAAUCUUACA
rnacentral:rRNA from 1 species